rnacentral:misc_RNA from 1 species
GCAAACUUGGUCAUUUAGAGGAAGUAAAAGUCGUAACAAGGUCUCCGUUGGUGAACCAGCGGAGGGAUCAUUACCGAGUUUACAACUCCCAAACCCCAGUGUGAACGUUACCUACAACCGUUGCCUCGGCGGGAGGGCCCCGGGAGCGUCGCAGCCCCGGACCAAGGCGCCCGCCGGAGGACCGAAAACCCCAAACCCUUGCAUGUCCCGUCAGCGGACUCUGUUACGAAAUCUGAGCCUCAUCGCUCGCCCCCAGCGGGCGUCGCGAGAAUGAAUCAAAACUUUCAACAACGGAUCUCUUGGUUCUGGCAUCGAUGAAGAACGCAGC